UGAGGAAUAUUGGUCAAUGGGCGAGAGCCUGAACCAGCCAAAUCGCGUGAAGGAAGACUGCCUUAUGGGUUGUAAACUUCUUUUAUACAGGAAUAAAAAAGGGGACGUGUCCCUUAUUGCAUGUACUGUAUGAAUAAGCAUCGGCUAACUCCGUGCCAGCAGCCGCGGUAAUACGGAGGAUGCGAGCGUUAUCCGGAUUUAUUGGGUUUAAAGGGUGCGCAGGCGGGCUUUUAAGUCAGCGGUGAAAUCUCGGGCUUAACUCCGAAACUGCCGUUGAAACUGGGAGUCUUGAGUAUGGAUGAAGUAGGCGGAAUUCGUUGUGUAGCGGUGACAUGCUUAGAUAUAACGAGGAACUCCGAUUGCGUAGGCAGCUUACUAAGCCAUAACUGACGCUCAAGCACGAAAGCGUGGGGAUCAAACAGGAUUAGAUACCCUGGUAGUCCACGCCGUAAACGAUGAUUACUAGUUGUAUGCGAUAUACCGUAUGUGACUAAGCGAAAAGCGAUAAGUAAUCCACCUGGGGAGUACGCCGGCAACGGUGAAACUCAAAGGAAUUGACGGGGUCAUAGCUGUUUCCUG
rnacentral:rRNA from 1 species